AUCGUUUUGUAGUUCAUAAGCAUGAUGACUGGGUGUUCAUGUGCCUGUGUCAGACGUGCUCAAACCUUUACUACAUUGGCACGUUACCCAUUUGAAC
rnacentral:snoRNA from 1 species